rnacentral:rRNA from 2 species
CGCAGCAGGACUCCGGGGUCAGCAGCCUCUAGCGCGGGAGCGAACGCGGCUCAGGGAAGUCGGCAAGCCGGCUCCGUAACCUCGGGAAAAGGAGUGGCUCUGACGGCGCGCCGGGUCAGAACUGGAACGGACGCGGGGAUCCCGACUGUUUACUAGAAACACAGCGUCGCGAGGGCCGCACCCGGCGCUGGCGCGACGUGAUUUCUGCCCAGUGCCACGACCGUCACCGUGAAGCGAUCCGCCGAAGCCCUGGUAAACGGCGGGAGUAACUAUGACUCUCUUAAGGUAGCCAAAUGCCUCGUCGGGCAAUUUCCGACGUGCAUGAAUGGACCAACGAGGAUCCCACUGUCCCGAGCCGCGCCUCCGCGAGCCUCCAGCCUCGGGAACGGGCGAGGGCCGGCCAGCGGGGCAAGAAGACCCUUUUGAGCUUGACUCCAGCCCGGGCCUGUGGGGCGGGGCGGCCGGCGCAGCGCACCAGGGGAGGCCGUGCCCCUGAGACACCCUGACGG